rnacentral:rRNA from 1 species
UACAGAGGUCUCAAGCGUUGUCCGGAUUUACUGGGCGUAAAGAGCGCGCAGGCGGUCGUUCAAGUCGAGUGUGAAAGCCCCCGGCUCAACUGGGGAGGGUCAUUCGAUACUGAUCGACUUGAAGGCAGGAGAGGGAAGCGGAAUUCCCGGUGUAGUGGUGAAAUGCGUAGAUAUCGGGAGGAACACCAGUGGCGAAGGCGGCUUCCUGGCCUGUUCUUGACGCUGAGGCGCGAAAGCUAGGGGAGCAAACGGG